rnacentral:lncRNA from 1 species
GCUUUUUUAUUUUUUUUGCUGUUUAGUGCUAUAUAGGUUUAGCGAUAGGUUUAGUGCUAGGUUAAGUAGAUAAGGGAAGAAGAAGAAGAAGAAGAGGAGGAGGAGGAGGAGGGGGAGAAAAAGAAGAUGAAGAAGAAAAAGAGGAGAGAGGAGAAUAAUAAAGAAGAGAAAAAAGGAAAAGAAGGAAGAAGAAGAAGAAGAGGAAGAAGAAGAGG